UGUGCAGCCGACGCUAUUGCAACGGACGCACCAUUACACUGAAUCUGUGCAACGCUCAUGAAACAAACGCACCAUGGUUGAGCUGUCAGUUUUUUUUUCCACUCGCGCGUGUUUGAUCGUGUCCGUGUCGGUGUUGGCGGUGUGGCUGUAUCCUCGUGAUUUGGCAACUUUUGGCGAUAGUCAAUGUGUCCAACGAGCAGCCGAAGGCAGUUCACCAGAUCCGCUGAGGGACGGAAUCGGGUCCGCUCCGCAAGGCGAAAAGUUUUCAGCAUCUUUGUAGUGAAGCUGUUUGUUUGCGGAAAAAUCCAACUUGAAGGAGGAAUACGACUGGAACUCGUCUAGUUCGUGCGAGGACGGCCAACAUGGAAAGCUGGUGCCGAUCUCGGCCGGAUGACGAACCAAGUACGACCGACUGACGCAGUGGUUCCGGAACUGGCGGUGGGGCAACGAACUGUCGACGAGUCUGUCCGGGUCUAGCUUGCGGGACAAGUGGUCCAGGUCAACGAGUUGGCGCGAAGAGGAGAGUGUCAUAGGCGAUGGGCCUGGAGGGCGGCCACUGCAUUCGUCGUCAGUGGGCGGUGGCUACAAACCUCGGAUGUCGGCUCUGAGUGGCGGAGAUCUCAACACGAGUGGAGGACCGGAAGGUGGCCUACGGCGUCACUGGGACGCCGAUGAUCAACUGCCGGAGUGGGCCACGGAGAACCCGGUAGCUUCGACGCGAGUGGACCAUUCCAUGACUCGGACAACGGCAUUGACGGGCGGCUGGAGGACGAUAGCGGGAUGGAGAAUCACGUGGAUCAUCGCUAUCACCAUCAACGCAAGGAAGGUGUGUCCGGUGGCAGUUCACGAAGAAGCGCCCCAUCGUCCAAGGAAGGUAGUGCCGCGAAGGAAGACUUGCCCAACCAUGCUGCGUUGUCGGCGAAAGCCUCGGAAGAGGUGGACCCCGGCAGCAGAAAGAAGUCUGAACCGGUACGGAACGCUACGGCGGAUGAAAAGCCUCCAAAAGCCAGCGAAUCGGAAUCCCGGCGUCCGAGAUGGCGUUCCCGGCGUCCCGCAACUGCUGCAACUAUUCCCGGUCGCCGACAGGAUCCCGUGGUUUCUUCAAAAACAUCUUGAGCUGAAAAGUGGGACGAGUUGGCAAGGUUGCGAACCCGUUCCCGGUGUUGAAUGACCAGAUCCAAUGAGUGACCGAUCCGGAAUAGCGACGAGGAGUGCUUUUGUAAAAUCGGGCCUAUUCCACUGAGGAUUGUGCUUCAUAAAUACGCGAGAGUUCAUCCCAAGUACGACGCAGUAGUUCCGGCACCGGCUACAAACAUUUCGAACAACUUCAGAAAGUUCGGAUUGAAGCAGAAUAUUAAAAGAAAACGACGCGGAAAAAAAGUACUAUUUUUUUUUAAAUUAACGAAAAAAACUAUAAAAAUACAAUAAAACUUACCAUAUUGACCAUUAAUUUCAAUGCAUAAAUAUAUGUUUUACAGUACAAUUUAGUGGAGAGAAAAAAAUAAAUACAAUGAAAAUACAAUAAAUCAUACUGUAGUUAUUAUUUAUUUCAAUGUACGAAUAUAGUUUAAACCGUACUAUUUAGUAUGGAAAAAUCCAUGAAGAACUGUGAAUUAACUGUGCAAACCAUUGUAAUGGUUACUGUUUUUAUUAUAAAUGUAUGAUGUUUUCUAUGGUCAGGGUAAUUUUUUGGACGGGAAAGGCAUCAAUGAAAAUACGAUAGAAUGUAUAGUUUUUGGUUUUUUUUUGUAUGGGGAAAAGUCGAAAUUUUUAUGGUGACUGUGCCUAACAAUACCCCUUUUUUAUAGUAAAUUCCCGAAAUAGGAUAUAUUCUAUGGUGAAAAAACAUAAAGGCUACUGUAGAAUCAUGGUAAAAAUAACCAUAGAAUUUAUCGUGUGAUAACCAUAAAAUCUACUGUAGGUUUAUAGUAAAUCUUUAUGCGGGUUCCCGCAUAAAGAUUUCUGAUGAACUUACAGUAAAUUUUAACGUUACAAAACGAUAAAAUAUAUUGUCAUUUUGACAGUGUUUUAACAGUAGACAGCAUCGUUUUUUAAGAUAAUUUGCGUCGUAUUUUGGGAUUUUACCAUAAAAAAGGGGGGUUGUUAUGCACCGGUACCAUAAAAAUUUCGAAAUUUUUCCAUACAUUUUUUUUCCAAAUACGACGCAUUUUACUGUUAAUCUAAUGUUGCAUU